rnacentral:rRNA from 1 species
UGGGGAAUAUUGCACAAUGGACGGAAGUUUGAUGCAGCGACGCCGCGUGGAGGGUGUAGGCCUUCGGGUUGUGAACUCCUUUUUCUCGCGAAAAAGGCACAGUUUUGGCUGUGUUGAUGGUAGUGGGGGAAGAAGCGCCGGCUAACUACGUGCCAGCAGCCGCGGUAAUACGUAGGGCGCGAGCGUUGUCCGGAUUUAUUGGGCGUAAAGAGCUCGUAGGUGGUUCGUCGCGUCUGUCGUGAAAGCCAGCAGCUUAACUGUUGGUCUGCGGUGGGUACGGGCGGGCUUGAGUGCGGUAGGGGUGACUGGAAUUCCUGGUGUAGCGGUGGAAUGCGGAGAUAUCAGGAGGAACACCGAUGGCGAAGGCAGGUCACUGGGCCGUUACUGACACUGAGGAGCGAAAGCGUGGGGAGCGAACAGG